rnacentral:rRNA from 1 species
GAUGAACGCUGGCGGCGUGCCUAAUACAUGCAAGUCGAGCGAACAGACGAGGAGCUUGCUCCUCUGACGUUAGCGGCGGACGGGUGAGUAACACGUGGAUAACCUACCUAUAAGACUGGGAUAACUUCGGGAAACCGGAGCUAAUACCGGAUAAUAUAUUGAACCGCAUGGUUCAAUAGUGAAAGACGGUUUUGCUGUCACUUAUAGAUGGAUCCGCGCCGCAUUAGCUAGUUGGUAAGGUAACGGCUUACCAAGGCGACGAUGCGUAGCCGACCUGAGAGGGUGACCGGCCACACUGGAACUGAGACACGGUCCAGACUCCUACGGGAGGCAGCAGUAGGGAAUCUUCCGCAAUGGGCGAAAGCCUGACGGAGCAACGCCGCGUGAGUGAUGAAGGUCUUCGGAUCGUAAAACUCUGUUAUUAGGGAAGAACAAAUGUGUAAGUAACUAUGCACGUCUUGACGGUACCUAAUCAGAAAGCCACGGCUAACUACGUG